rnacentral:rRNA from 1 species
CUGGGCUUGACAUGCAUCUCUAAGCGCGUGAAAGCGCGCGACCCUUCGGGGGAUUUGCACAGGUGCUGCAUGGCCGUCGUCAGCUCGUGUCGUGAGAUGUUGGGUUAAGUCCCGCAACGAGCGCAACCCUUGUGAGCAGUUGCCAGCGCGUCAUGGCGGGAACUCUGCUCAGACUGCCCAGAUCAACUGGGAGGAAGGUGGGGACGACGUCAGGUCAGUAUGGCCCUUACGCCCAGGGCUGCACACGUACUACAAUGCCCAGCACAAUGAGAGCCGAGACCGCGAGGUGGAGGAAAUCUAUAAAACUGGGCCCAGUUCGGAUUGGAGGCUGCAACCCGCCUCCAUGAAGUUGGAAUCGCUAGUAAUGGCGCAUCAGCUACGGCGCCGUGAAUACGUUCCC